rnacentral:tRNA from 1 species
UUCUAAUGUGGCAGAGUUAUGCACAAGAUUUAGAAUCUUAUUACGAAAUAAAUAUUUCCAUAGAAA